rnacentral:lncRNA from 1 species
CCACUGCAUAUAACUUAAAUCAUCUAUCAGUCUGUCAUUUUGUCCAUAUAUUGUUCACAUGUGAUUUCGUAGAUUUCCUAUGUAAGUCGAACGUUAGGACGGCUUGUGUUUGCAACAUGUAAACUAAUCCUUUACAUGAAAAAUGUGGGGCUAUUCUCGAUAAGAUUAGAUUGAAGGAGGUGAAGUAGCUGAAUCUUAAUUUUUUGAUUAACUUGUACCUUCAAUAUUAUUGCAUCUGCAGGUGGUAUGGCCUCAAACAUGUCCCCAGGAACACAUCUCACGUUCUCGCUAACUUCUAAAUUAGCCACCACAUGCGGAAGAUCAAAUAUUGUGCAUUCCAUGUGCGGAAAGGAGUUCGCGAUGGCCUUGGCCAUCGUCCCAGUUCCUCCGCCUACAUCGACCAACGAGGUUAUUCCCUCGAACACCCCUUUGUGCUCGUUAACCACCAUGCUAGCCACCAAUCGAGCAUCGCUAGCCAUGCCAUCGUUGAAUAAGCGAUCAAACCCCGGCUCUUGACCAGCAUACCUCCAAAACGACAUCCCUUGCACCAUUUCGAAUGGCGUCGGGUCGGCGUGGUUGUGGAACCACGCGCUCAAGCCAUGCCAUGGGUUUAUCAGAAUAGGGUCGAGCACGGACAGUGCGAACGGCGCAACAUUGGAGGGAUUGUCCGUAAGGAGGAGCUUGGACACGCGAUUGAGUACGUAGGCACCUUGACCGUCCGGCGCAAGCUUCUUCUGUUCGAAGAAUCCGGAGUGGACGAGGAUGCGCAUGAGGCGGUCGACGCAGUGAGCUCUGGAGGGGUGAAUUUGAAGUGCAGAGACCAAGGCGUCGAGGGUCAUAGGUUGGCCAUGGUGGUGGAUGGUGUCGGGAAUGCCUAACUGAAUGGUACAUUUCAAGCACAUGGAAUUGAUGAAAUUGAAGAUGUGGUUCCAUAUGUGAGCUUGAGCCAGUAGCUGCUGGCUUCCCAUCUCUCCAUUCACCAUAUCCAUGGUGCAAAGUUAUUAUCUCUCAACUCUAUAUUGCAAUUUCUUGCUUAUGAACUUCGAGAAUAUAAGAACGGUGCCUAUUUAUAAUGGUUUGGAAAGUGGGUAUAAAGCAUCCUACUGGGCAUACCUUCCGUCGGCCAAAUAAUUGACACAUGUUCACAUGAUACACGUUGAUACAGAUGGUUCCCAUAACAUUAAAAUAGCUUAGGUUCAUUUGAUUUUCCCUCGCUUUUAUACCUUGUAUAAUUAAUCAUUUCUUGUGGUCGAGAGAGUAAGGGAAAGGUCAUAUUUACCUCUGAUGGCCAAACCUAUGAAAACAUUGCGGUCAUUCGGAAGGGAGAUUUAGGAUGUUGAAUUAUUAAAUCGAGAACUAAACUGAACCAAGAUUUGGCCCAUCUAAUCCUAGACUCACCCGGGAUGGUGGGUCCAUGAACCGAUCAUGAAUACUUUGGUCAUAUAUUUGCCUCAUUUCAAAUUUCUCGUUUUUUUUAAUUAUAUAUUUUUGAGUAUUUUGGGGCCAGGUCCACCCCCAAGCUGGACAUAUUCUAGCGGACACGACCCACAAAUGAUGUUGGUAUUUUAAAUGGGUCAUUCCGUGCCGAAAAUCCGGGUCUUGACAUACAGUGAAACGGCAUGAAGAAGGAAGCCGAGAAAAGAGGGCAAAUACUAAAUAGCAGACUUACUAAAUCCACUUCCCAAUUAUGAGCACAAGCUUGCAAUACGUAGAAAAACUUCAAAAACUGCUUUCAAACUUGCGUACUUGUAAGACAUCUCCCUUGCCUGAUUUGGGGACUUUUUUCCAAAGCCAACAGCAAACCGAUAUUGCUUGCUAAUUUUAUAAUUAAACUUAUAUAUAUUCUAACCGGCUCAAGGGCCGUCAUUGGCUGGGGCAUCGCCCCAAGAUUGGGCCACCCCAGCCAACCCUCCCCCCACCUACUCAACAAUGAGAAGGAGACGGCGGCGGCGAGGGCUGAGCCCUCAAUCGCUGGCUGCAGUUCAUCUUUCACCUCUUUUUUUAUUUUAAAAAAAUGAUUUUAAAUUUAAUUUAAUUAAUUUUUAUAUUAAUUAUUUACCCACGUCGAUAGUAAAACCACGUCGUUUUGGCAUUUAUCUAGCCACGUAAGCACACAAAAUGAUGUCGUUUUGCACUUAGUUCGCAGGAAAAUCGUCACAUCAGUGUUUGGCCGGAUUUUAUUAUUAUUGGUACUUAAUUGAUCCAUUUUGCUCAAAUUUUGACACUUAAAUGUCACUUUCAUAACUUUUGACAUCUAAGUAUCUCCUUGUGCCAAGUUUUAACACUCUAGGUGUCCCAAAUUCCAAAAUUAACUGUACACAAAAGGUCUUGGGCCAUUUUGCAUCUCAAAUUAAAUUUUUGCCAUUUCUUUAAAGUUUUCUAGAACUUUUUUCUUCUCUUUUCCUUUUCCUUUUCUUUUUCCUUUUCCUUUCUUUCAUUUUUGUUUUUCCUUUGUUUCAAUUCCCUUUCCUGGUUGCUAGGGCCUCGGCAAUGGCCAGCGGAGGUCAACAGCCAAAGGCAAGGCCAUCGCGGUAGGGGUGUCAACGGUUCAGUUCGGUUCGAUUUUUCAAAAAAACCGAACCAAACCGAACCCUUAGGAAAAACUUCUAAACCGAACCGAAUAAAACCCUAACAGAAUAUGAACUGAACCGAAAUUUUGGUUUUGUUCGGUUCAGUUUUUCGACUUUUCGUUUUUAGCUUUUAGUUUUCGUUUUUUGCAUUUGUUUUUUGUUUUUGUUAUAUAUAUUUUUCGUUUCCAAGAAAUAAGCUCUUAUCGGUUCGGUUCAGUUAACCGAUAAAAACCGAACCGAUAAAAACAAUUUCGGUUUUUAAUGAAAACCGAACUGAAUGAAAACUGAACUUGAAAAAUCGAAUUUUUCAGUUCAGUUCGGUUCGGUUUGGUUCGGUUUUUGAGACCCAUACAUUGCGGCCCUCCCCCACGGUGACCGAUAGAGAAAAAUAAGGAAAAAAGAAAUGAGGAGAAAGGAAAGAAAACAGGAAGGAAGAAGAUAUUUAGAAAAUCAGUUCGCUUCCGGAAAGUUGUGGUUGCAAUCAAUGAUUAAUUGGACAUCUAGACCUGAGUCCACAAAGGCUGAGCGCAGGACCCCCUUCCCUUGCCCAAAUCCCAAGCACCUAGGGCCGGGUCCACAAAGGCCGUGCCUAGAUCCUCAAUGUUAGUGCUCGUGUUCCUAAUGCCUUUGCCCAAAUCCCUAGUGCCCAAGUUCAAGUCCAUUGAGGCCAAGGCCCUAGACCUUGGUGCCUAGGUCCAUUGAGGUUGGGCAUGGGAACCCAAUGGCUAGGCCUAAGCUCUAGUGCCUAGGCUUGGGUCCAUAGAGGUCGGACUUGAGUCUAUUGAGGUCGACCCCAAGACCCUAGUGCCUAUGCCUAGAUCCCUGCACUUGAGUGCUUGUGCCUACAUCCCCAGCACCUAAACCCAAACACAUUGAGGCUGAGACAAGUCCAUCGAGGUUGGGCCCAAGACCCCAAUGCUCGUGCUUAGAUCCCUUGUGCCCAAGCUUGGAUCCAUUGAGGCCUAGGCCUUAAUGCUAUGGAUUUGGGCAUGGGGAACUAGGAUCUUGAGCCAAUUAUCAGGGACCUAAGUAUGGGCACUGCAAUCCCUGGGCUUGCCCUAGAUGGACCCGAAGCCGGCCUUUAUGGACCCAGCUUAAUCGUCGGAGACUCGAACACAUGCACUAAUAUCACAGCCCAGCCUUAAUAUACUAGGCUCAAGUAUUGAGGACCUAACUUGAGUGCCAAGUCCACAGCUUAUCCUCUGUGGAUUUAGGCCUAAGCCCAAGCACUAAGGUCUAGCGCUUAACUUUUAUGAUCCUCAAGCCCGGCUGUCGAGGAUCCUUAGGCCCGCCCUUUAUGGUCUUGAGACUGAUGUCUAUGCUCUUGCUCGAGACCGAACUGCCCGUGCCAAGAUCAAGGUCCAUCGAGGCUAGACUUGGGAUCCUUGUGCCUAUGCCUAGUUCCCCGCCCCUGCCCAAGUUACCAGCAGCUGAAUAGUAUAUGCAUACUAAGGAUAAUUAAAUCAGAUUUUCCUUUUCAAAUGAUGAAAAAUAUUUUCCUUUUUUUUUUUUUUUUAGGUUUCAUCCAAAUAUUAGAAAAUAUUAUUAUUCUUCUAGAAAGUGAUUUCCUAAAAGAUAUUUUCCAGAAAUGUAAUAUAUUUCAAAUAUUUUAUAGAAAUGUAUUUCACAAAAUCUUAAGAUGUUCAUACUUGCUUUUCACAGUUGAGGAAAAUAAGUUUGACCAAAUACAAAAUUACUUCUUAGAAUUACCGAUAGGAAAAUAUAGACUUAACAAUCCCAAGUGCCUUGCCCAAUAAAGAUUGAGUUCUAGAUGUUUGAAAACGUGGAAUCAAGUCCUAGACUUUUAAAACUAAUCCAAUUAAAUCCUUCCGACAACCAACAUUGAUGUGGCAGUAUGGCACAAGCAAUCUCGCAUGGUGGUGGACCUCUAUGCAAGUGUCGCACAACCCUUGCCUGCAGGGGGUAAGGGUUGCUUGACCCGCGCACAAUGGUGACCGAUGGUGGAGCCACCUCCAUGUGUGAGAGCCCCCACCUGAAGCCGACAAGGGUCAGCAAUUUCAGAAUAGUUCAUAAUAUUGGGAUUAUCGAAUGGUAUCUUCGAGGUUCAUCUGUGUCGAGGAUUUACCAAAGGGUUUUGUGUCCAUUUCCAGGCGAUUUUUCAGGUUUAUGGUCUGUUUGGAGAGUAGGGGAUAAUUCGUGGACUACUCGGAUAAUUGGGGUUUUGGGGUUGCAUGUGGAGUGUUGAUUUAAGGGGUAUUUUCCAAAAUGAGACCACUUUAUUUUUGGUGAAGUGGGCUAACAUGGACCGAAAGAAAUUAUGGAAAUCUCUAUUGAUUGCAUCCUAGCAAGCCCAUAUCCAUCACCAGCAACAGCACUUGAGUUCACAACUACAGAACACAUGAUAAAAGGCUGCAUGAGGAGGAGGAGAAAGCCGACUCUAACGUAGAGGUUCGGGUGAGGCUUCGACCUUCGGCUUUUCAGGCGCGCCAGACCAACGGGCCAUAGAUCACGAGGAUGGCGUAGAGAUCCAUCGCCAGCGCGGCGGCCACGAGGAGCAGGUGGCCGUGGAAGCAGAAUGUCAAGGCGGGGAUCAACAGAUGACUCGCCGUGGAUACAAUGGCCAGCGCGCUGGAUAGUAUCACCGCUCUGAAGGUCCAGUCGUGCGGAUCGAGGCUCUUUGGCUGAAUCAGGAAGAUACAGACCACGGUGACAAUCUGCAUCCCCAGCAGCACCCUCUCCAGGAAGUGGUCUCUAGGGAUACUCACCUCCAUUGCCAAUUCUUCCCAUCAGCGACCUGACCUUGGAGAUGCCAGGUUGACCGCAAGAGAGGGCCGGAGAGAGUACACCGUCGUCUGAUCGGAGACCUGGUUAUGAUACGUGUUUUGGGCGCUGGAAUUGAUGCAACGGGACCUCCAGGUUUAUACACGAGCAGAGUUCGAAUCCGAGAGGGACGGUCUUUUCAAAUCGUCUAUCUUUUAAGAUAAAACCAACCAAAACUUUAUCUUUGGGGGUGAUAAGCACCAUGCAACUUCUCAAUCCCAACGUAACUCAUACGUAAUUGACAAGCAAACCGAAAUUUCGAAUCCAUUAACGCUAAUCUUGCAGGGAAACAAGAGGUUUUUUGCAACAUUGAUCCUACUUUUCCAUUAAGUUCAACAUCCAUAUCCAUAUGAUGAUCAUAUCCAUCUACUUGUAUCAAUUUUGUCUUCCGAUCGAGUAUUUUAACUCGCGAUUCGAUUACUUUAAAUCACACUGCAGCUAAAAAAGCAAGAGAAAUUACAUCAUUAAGAUGACAUUAAUUUCAUAAUUAUGCAUAAGGUAUGGCGGAAAAAAUCGAUGGACAUCAUGUAGAUUAGUUUAAUUAGACUAAUAGCGGUCCACCGUGGAAAAAAAGAUCGAUGGAAACGCUCGGAAUUUGCAUACUCAGCUGUCUUGAAAUCUGAAGAGGGGGAAAUUAUCUUAAGGCAUUUCGCUUCACGAUAGAGAAGCAACUUUGUAAGUGGUAGACUGAGUUAAAUUAGACUAAGUUGCAUCCCCAGCAAAAUAGAAGAUUCAUUUCUUAUCAUGUUGUUGCAUCGGGGUCGACACGGGCUUGACCGAUUCUCGACUACUCCCCCCAGUUCUUUCACAAAAACUGGACUGGGCCUUGCUCCGAUUCCCGGUUCAACCCUGUUGAACCAGCCGGUCCGAUCCAGGUCUGAAAACAUUCAUAACAUCACUUUCCAUUUCAUUGCACACACAUAGGAAGUCUCUCUAUGCAUGGAAUGAAGGGAUUUAUUUUUUUUUUGGUCGAAAUGGAAUGAAGGGAUUGUUUUGCGGCUAGCAGACCCAUUUUCUCUGAGGACCGCAAAACUCCUGGACAGGACCCGCCAUCAGGGUGCCCUGUCAACUCCAAGAAUAAGACUACCUUCCUUCAGCAACAAUGUUUAACAACUUCCCCCAUGCUUGAAGCAAUCAUUCAAUUCAUACGAGAGAGAGUGAAAAACUUACAAUAUAGAACAUUUUAGAAAUUCAGGUGCCCAAGGUCUCAACUUCCACACUGUGUGUGGCUAGAAAAGGAUCACACUCCAAUCGAUUCAAACGACAGCCACUUGCUUCAACUGCUAAAUAUGCUUAUCUGAAUGAGCGACUUAAUCACGCCAUUCUCGCAUGCUCAUACAUCGCUAAACCCUUACUGAAAUAUGUAUUUUCAUGUGUGUGGCUAGAGAAGCCUUAUUUACUACUGAUCUUUAACUUACCGCAAGCUAUAAGAACUAGAGCAUGAAUUGGCAAGUAUUGAUAAUCGAUCAUGAAGGGUAGACCUCAAUAAGAGAUCGCAAGCCAAGUACAGGGGUGAUCUUGUAGUCCCCAAAGCCAGCAGCGACGAAGAGCUUAGCCCAUUCUGCUUCAUUCCUCUCCCUCCCCGACGUGAGGGUCAUCAUCAACAUAUCAUAGAAGAGCUGGGUUUCGACCAUCUCUUUGUCGCUCUUCGUGUUGUCCAUCACCAUUUCAAUUAUAAUUACCUUCUUUUUCUUGCCCUCGCCUUUGCCUAAGGCCUCCCUGCAUCGCUUCAGUACCUUCACAGCGUCUUCAUCGCUCCAAUCAUGGAGUAUCCACUGCAUAUAACUUAAAUCAUCUAUCAGUCUGUCAUUAUGUCCAUAUAUUGUUCACAUGUGAUUUCGUAGAUUUCCUAUGUAAGUCGAACGUUAGGACGGCUUGUGUUUGCAACAUGUAAACUAAUCCUUUACAUGAAAAACGUGGGGCUAUUCUCGAUAAGAUUAGAUUGAAGGAGGUGAAGUAGCUGAAUCUUAAUUUUUUGAUUAACUUGUACCUUCAAUAUUAUUGCAUCUGCAGGUGGUAUGGCCUCAAACAUGUCCCCAGGAACACAUCUCACGUUCUCG